GAAUGUUGUCUGGCUCGAGGC
rnacentral:miRNA from 1 species